rnacentral:rRNA from 1 species
AGGACGAACGCUGGCGGCGUGCUUAACACAUGCAAGUCGAGCGGAAAGGCCCUUCGGGGUACUCGAGCGGCGAACGGGUGAGUAACACGUGAGCAACCUGCCCUUAGCUUCGGGAUAGCUCCGGGAAACCGGAAUUAAUACCGAAUAUGACUGCGGCUGACAUCAGCCACGGUGGAAAGUUUUUCGGCUAGGGAUGGACUCGCGGCCUAUCAGCUAGUUGGUGAGGUAACGGCCCACCAAGGCGACGACGGGUAGC